CGCUUCUGCCUUGCUCCUCGCUCGGUCGCUCCUGCUUCCACUUCCGCCUCCAUCGGCCAGCUGGGUGUCCAAAGCUCUGCGCGCGCGCGUGCCCAAGAUUCGGCUCCGCCAUUGCUCCCGUCGGGCACCGCCGGCCCUCUUGAAAUCCCCCGCCGGCUUCGCGGGUCGGAGUUUUGAAUCAAUCUGCGGACACCCUUUUGCGCGUGCGCUCUUCCUCCCUCGCUCGCGUCCUCCAUUGUGCUCGCUCUGUGCGAUUGGGUGGGUUCUUUCGUUCGUUGGGGGCUUUCUGCUCUGUUUCUUGCUUGGAAUUUUCCCGGGCUUUCCGAUCUCUUGUGCUGGACUUUGAUUAGAAGGUUUCGAAUAGAGACGGAGCACCGCCAUUGGAUGAUUCAAAAUUUAGGGUUUCUGAUUCUUGCGGCCGGGUGGCGUGGCUUGAUUUGAAGUGGCCGAAUGUGCCGGAACCUGCUUCGCUCGCGAGGUUUUUCUGUCUUUUGUUGAAGAUAUGAGACUUGGUUUUGCUCUGUGUUGUUCCUGGGUUGGUCGAUUCUGUUUUCUUUGGAAACUUAAGUAUCACUUGUGAGUUUGUUAU